rnacentral:rRNA from 1 species
AUUGAACGCUGGCGGCAUGCCUUACACAUGCAAGUCGAACGCGAAAGCGGAGCAAUCCGCAAGUAGAGUGGCGAACGGGUGAGUAAUAUAUCGGAACAUUUCCAGUAGCGGGGGAUAACCUGUCGAAAGAUAGGCUAAUACCGCAUACGCCCCACGGGGGAAAGCGGAGGACCGCAAGGCUUCGCACUAUUGGAGUGGCCGAUAUCGGAUUAGCUAGUUGGUGGGGUAAAAGCCCACCAAGGCGACGAUCCGUAGCUGGUCUGAGAGGACGAUCAGCCACACUGGAACUGAGACACGGUCCAGACUCCUACGGGAGGCAGCAGUGGGGAAUUUUGGACAAUGGGCGAAAGCCUGAUCCAGCCAUGCCGCGUGAGUGAAGAAGGCCUUCGGGUUGUAAAGCUCUUUCGGUGGGGAAGAAAAGGUACGUGCUAAUACCACGGACUAAUGACGGUACCCGAAGAAGAAGCACCGGCUAACUACGUGCCAGCAGCCGCGGUAAUACGUAGGGUGCAGGCGUUAAUCGGAAUUACUGGGCGUAAAGCGUGCGCAGGCGGUUUGUUAAGACAGAUGUGAAAUCCCCGGGCUUAACCUGGGAACUGCGUUUGUAACUGGCAAGCUAGAGUGUGGCAGAGGGGGGUAGAAUUCCAGGUGUAGCAGUGAAAUGCGUAGAUAUCUGGAGGAAUACCGAUGGCGAAGGCAGCCCCCUGGGUUAACACUGACGCUCAUGCACGAAGGCGUGGGGAGCAAACAGGAUUAGAUACCCUGGUAGUCCACGCCCUAAACUAUGUCAACUGGUUGUCGGGGGAGCAAUCCCUUGGUAACGAAGCUAACGCGUGAAGUUGACCGCCUGGGGAGUACGGCCCGCAGGUUA